CCCAAUCUGGGGCUCAAUCCCACGAACCGUGAGAUCAUGACCUGAGCCGAGUUGAAGAGUCAGGCGCUUAACUGGCUGAGCCCCCCAGCCAGUUUAAAUGCCCCGCUGCUGCAUUUAAAAGUUCCUCUGUAGUUGCUGCCGCAGGGGGACCGCAUCUCCUUGACCUUCUGCCCAGGACCAUCCCAGAUACAGCAACGAACAGGUGAAAGGCACCUGGUACACUGGGGGUGGCAUUGCGGUUAAGGACUCAGCUCAUCUCUCCUCUGCUAAUGUGCUUUGUGCCUCACUUUUCCCAGCAGACAGUAUAUUUUAGCAAUAAUUCUGGUUUUGUAUGUAUAGGUGGACUUCAGUUGUGUGUUGGGGAGGGGCUGCAUGAGGUUUCGUUGUUUAAAUGGACUAGGAUUCUUU